AUGCAUCCGUCCUCCAUGCUCAUAGAUGUACACGCCAUCAACAUGCCAGGGGAGCAUGAACAGGAGCCACAAGUAGCAUGUGUGGGGCACACAUGCCCUGUGUGGCAUCUCUUUUGGCCAGCGAUUCCCACUCGCUUAUUGGUGACCAUCAUUUCCUAUCAGUACCAUUCGCUCUCCUGGUCCUUUCUGGACAAGGUUGGAUGUGGAGCUCCUAGUAUUCCCGCGCAUGCGCCUGCUGAUCUGUUGGUGCUUCCACAAGUUACUUGGCGGAGCCUUUUGGUUUCUUGUCCACCGCAGAGGAUUGUCUGGUGGCUGUCGGAGAUGCGGGCUUUGCUGGAGUCUAACCGCUGGGAUGGUCUCCUCAGGAUUCCUGUCCUCUUGGCUGAUCACUGCAGGCUCCCAACUUGUAUUCAUCGUCACCUCAAGACCAAGCAGCCUGGCUCUGGCUCAGGAGGAAGCCUUUGCUCUCGGGUUCCUGUUUCGUAGGGUUGGCGCUUCCCGGGGUCCUUAUGAUGUCACUUAGCUGGUUUUUUCCCCUCAAAAGACAAGGAAACUGUCUGACCCUGAUUGAUCAAGACGACAAUUUCAAACCGGGAAUGCAGCCUUCUGGCCAACCAAUGCUUUAAAGAAGCCAGCUCCUCCCGAGCCGAGGGACUUGGCAGCUGUUGGGUGCCAGCACAAGUCAGGAUGAUCUGCCCUGAUGGACGCGUUUCUUUGGGUUUCUUCUGCUUGCAUCCAGUGUUUUCUCUUUAAGCGAACGCUCGAUGUGGUGGCUCAGUGAACUUUUAAACGGGUUUCUAAUUUCAAUCCAGAUUUGGACCUAAAAUGUCCUGUGUAAUAGGGGUGAGGAGGUGUCUUCUGUUAAAGACAGCUGUGAAAUAGUCACAAGAUUCUCCGUGCAUUAGCCAUCAGAUUCAUUUGUACCAGAACAAAAAGCAAGCUAAGGAGUCAAAACCAUUGUUAAUCAUUUAACGAAACCUCAUUCUUGUCUUUAUUCUGUGUAUCUGUCAGCAAGUUAGCCUCAUUAUUGUUCAUGUUGGCCUGAAAAAUAAAGCACAAAGCAAGAAAACCA
rnacentral:lncRNA from 1 species